GCGUCCGUCACCGGCGGCGUCGGUGAUGGCUCUCAUCGCGUUGGGAUCGCCUCCGAUGGGUUCGGAUCCGCGUCGAACACACUGACGGAGCCGGUGUGGGAUACGGUGAAGCGGGAUCUGGCGAGGAUUGUGAGUAACUUGAAGCUGGUGGUGUUCCCGAACCCGUAUAGGGAGGAUCCGGGGAAGGCGCUGCGGGAUUGGGA
rnacentral:misc_RNA from 1 species